CCACAGGAUGAAUCUGCGGCCAAUUAGGUAUUGGUGGGGAAGGACCCCCAACUAGCCUGUAAUCGGUACGGGUGGAGGAAGAAACACCCCGAAGAUGUAAUAUAAAACACAAUUCCCCCCCCUAGGGGGCGCAGGGGGAAAAAAAUUUUUACAAUGAAAAAAAUUGUGAUAAAGCACCCCCGAGUGCCCGACCACGCGGGCUGUUUGGUUGUUAAAAAUGCACAAAAAAAAAGGGCCGGGAAAGACCGGGGCCAGCCGCCGCGUUAAUACCGGCGCCUCGGGGGGGGACUUUUUUUAUUGUGAUUAAAGCGUUCGUAGCUGGACUGCUAACUCCCUUGAAAAACCCGCCUGCUUACCCGGCGGCCGUCGAAGGAAUACUGGCAUUGUUGGGACCGGAAGAGGAAAAAGGUCCUCCGGGGGAAGGAAAAAAAUCCUGUAAUCCCGGGGGAACCACCGGUGACGAAGGCUUCUUACAAAAACGCCUCCAACAGUGAGGAACGAAAGCUGGGGAAACCAACCUAAUUAAAUACCCGGGUAGUCCCAGCCGUAAACGAUGUUAAUUAGUUGUACCGCCAACAACUUGUUGCCUGGCUGACGAAAGAAAACCA
rnacentral:rRNA from 1 species